rnacentral:rRNA from 1 species
UACAGAGGUCCCAAGCGUUGUUCGGAUUCACUGGGCGUAAAGGGUGCGCAGGUGGGUUGGCAAGUUCGAUGUGAAAGCCCCGGGCUUAACCCGGGAAUGGCAUUGGAAACUGCUGAUCUGGAGGAUCGGAGGGGGACUGGAAUUCUUGGUGUAGCAGUGAAAUGCGUAGAUAUCAAGAGGAACACCAGUGGCGAAGGCGAGUCCCUGGACGAUACCUGACACUGAGGCACGAAAGCCAAGGGAGCGAAACAGG